rnacentral:rRNA from 1 species
AUAAAGCGGGUGAAAAGCCCGCUCGCCGGAAGACCAAGGGUUCCUGUCCAACGUUAAUCGGGGCAGGGUGAGUCGACCCCUAAGGCGAGGCCGAAAGGCGUAGUCGAUGGGAAACAGGUUAAUAUUCCUGUACUUGGUGUUACUGCGAAGGGGGGACGGAGAAGGCUAUGUUGGCCGGGCGACGGUUGUCCCGGUUUAAGCGUGUAGGCUGGUUUUCCAGGCAAAUCCGGAAAAUCAAGGCUGAGGCGUGAUGACGAGGCACUACGGUGCUGAAGCAACAAAUGCCCUGCUUCCAGGAAAAGCCUCUAAGCAUCAGGUAACAUCAAAUCGUACCCCAAACCGACACAGGUGGUCAGGUAGAGAAUACCAAGGCGCUUGAGAGAACUCGGGUGAAGGAACUAGGCAAAAUGGUGCCGUAACUUCGGGAGAAGGCACGCUGAUAUGUAGGUGAAGCGACUUGCUCGUGGAGCUGAAAUCAGUCGAAGAUACCAGCUGGCUGCAACUGUUUAUUAAAAACACAGCACUGUGCAAACACGAAAGUGGACGUAUACGGUGUGACGCCUGCCCGGUGCCGGAAGGUUAAUUGAUGGGGUCAGCGCAAGCGAAGCUCUUGAUCGAAGCCCCGGUAAACGGCGGCCGUAACUAUAACGGUCCUAAGGUAGCGAAAUUCCUUGUCGGGUAAGUUCCGACCUGCACGAAUGGCGUAAUGAUGGCCAGGCUGUCUCCACCCGAGACUCAGUGAAAUUGAACUCGCUGUGAAGAUGCAGUGUACCCGCGGCAAGACGGAAAGACCCCGUGAACCUUUACUAUAGCUUGACACUGAACAUUGAGCCUUGAUGUGUAGGAUAGGUGGGAGGCUUAGAAGUGUGGACGCCAGUCUGCAUGGAGCCGACCUUGAAAUACCACCCUUUAAUGUUUGAUGUUCUAACGUUGACCCGUAAUCCGGGUUGCGGACAGUGUCUGGUGGGUAGUUUGACUGGGGCGGUCUCCUCCUAAAGAGUAACGGAGGAGCACGAAGGUUGGCUAAUCCUGGUCGGACAUCAGGAGGUUAGUGCAAUGGCAUAAGCCAGCUUGACUGCGAGCGUGACGGCGCGAGCAGGUGCGAAAGCAGGUCAUAGUGAUCCGGUGGUUCUGAAUGGAAGGGCCAUCGCUCAACGGAUAAAAGGUACUCCGGGGAUAACAGGCUGAUACCGCCCAAGAGUUCAUAUCGACGGCGGUGUUUGGCACCUCGAUGUCGGCUCAUCACAUCCUGGGGCUGAAGUAGGUCCCAAGGGUAUGGCUGUUCGCCAUUUAAAGUGGUACGCGAGCUGGGUUUAGAACGUCGUGAGACAGUUCGGUCCCUAUCUGCCGUGGGCGCUGGAGAACUGAGGGGGGCUGCUCCUAGUACGAGAGGACCGGAGUGGACGCAUCACUGGUGUUCGGGUUGUCAUGCCAAUGGCACUGCCCGGUAGCUAAAUGCGGAAGAGAUAAGUGCUGAAAGCA